rnacentral:rRNA from 1 species
AGGCCUUCGGGUUGUAAAGCUCUGUCGGGGGGGAGGAAAGGGAAACUUGAUCGACCCCCGGACGGAAGCACGGGCUAAGUUCGUGCCAGCAGCCGCGGUAAGACGAACCGUGCGAACGUUGUUCGGAAUCACUGGGCUUAAAGGGCGCGUAGGCGGGUCGUCAAGUCAGGGGUGAAAUCCUGCGGCUCAACCGCAGAAGUGCCUUUGAUACUGACGGUCUCGAGGGAGGUAGGGGCGUGUGGAACUUCCGGUGGAGCGGUGAAAUGCGUAGAUAUCGGAAGGAACGCCGGUGGCGAAAGCGACGCGCUGGACCUCUUCUGACGCUGAGGCGCGAAAAGCCAGGGGAGCAAACGGGAUUAGAUACCCCGGUAGUCCUGGCCCUAAACGAUGGGUACUAGGUAGUGGACUUGACAUGGGUUCACUGCCGAAGCAAAAGUUUUAAGUACCCCGCCUGGGGAGUAUGGUCGCAAGGCUGAAACUC